AACGAACGCUGGCGGCGUGCCUAACACAUGCAAGUCGAACGAGAAAGGGGCUUCGGCUCCGAGUAAAGUGGCGCACGGGUGAGUAACACGUGGGUAACCUGCCUCUAAGAUUGGGAUGACUCGUCGAAAGAUGAGCUAAUACCGAAUGAGACCACAGUUCCUGCGGGAAAAGAGGUCAAAGGUAGCCUCUGCUUGCAAGCUAUCACUUAGAGAUGGGCCUGCGCACCAUUAGCUAGUUGGUAGGGUAACGGCCUACCAAGGCAAAGAUGGUUAGCUGGUCUGAGAGGAUGAUCAGCCACACUGGAACUGAGACACGGUCCAGACUCCUACGGGAGGCAGCAGUGGGGAAUAUUGCGCAAUGGGCGAAAGCCUGACGCAGCAACGCCGCGUGAGUGAUGAAGGCCUUCGGGUCGUAAAGCUCUGUCGGGAGGAACGAAUGCUCCUGAGGUUAACAGCCUCGGGAGGUGACGGUACCUUCAAAGGAAGCACCGGCUAACUCUGUGCCAGCCGCCGCGGUAAGAC
rnacentral:rRNA from 1 species